CAGGAAAACAGGCUGGAGUCACCUGCCGUAGAGUGGGGGUGCCCUGGCCAGCCCUGGCCUCCUGCAUCUGUCAAUGGUGACCUCAGAGGGCAUUUAUGGAGCGAUUAGCCAGUGCCAGGCCUGCCUUGUGCCCAGCCAGUCACCAGCCGGCUAUGCUGUGACCCCGGGAGGUAACUGGCCUCUCCAAGCCUCAGUUUCUCCAGGGUGGGUGGGAGUGUGGUGAGGGGAUGCGGCAGGAUCACUUUGGGGCCAUCACCCCCCAUUAAUGCAGGACAUGCACUGGUUCCCAGCCUUUGGGGUGGGCAUUACCCCAUUUUACAGAUGAAGAAACUGAGGCCACAGCCAAUGAGACACGAAUGUGGUGUGCAUCUCACCCUUCCCCGUCGGCUUUUUGAGGAUGGUCCUGGUUGAGUGAGAACAAAGGUGGCGGAGGGAGCCGUGGACUGGUGCCAAAUGAGCAGCCCAAGCAGGACACUGGGGCCCCCUGUGAGUGGCCAGCAGCCCCCACCUCCCUCCCUGCCUCUUGCCUCUCGUGUGUGGCUCUGCCACCUGCACACCGUCACCUCAGUCUGGUCGGGAGUGGAAUGGACACCGUCACCUCAGUCUGGUCGGGAGUGGAAUGGACACCGUCACCUCAGUCUGGUCGGGAGUGGAAUGGACACCAUCACCUCAGUCUGGUCGGGAGUGGAAUGGGACACGGGUUGUCGGAACUUGCUGGGCUUCACAGGGGCCACUGUGUGGCCCUUUGGGGACCAGAUGCCCAGAGCCAGUCUAAAUGAAUAAACAUGCUAAAACGCUUCCCCACCAUUUCCCAUACUCGGCGUCCCCAUGGUUGAGUGGGUUGUUCCUGGGUGUGAUGGGGACAAACCCUGUGCUCUGUUCUGCCUCACUAAGCCAGGGGCUGCCCUCACUGAAGGGCCUUGACCGC
rnacentral:lncRNA from 1 species